rnacentral:rRNA from 1 species
UGGGGAAUAUUGGGCAAUGGGCGAAAGCCUGACCCAGCAAUGCCGCGUGGGUGAAGAAGGUCUUCGGAUUGUAAAGCCCUUUCGGCGGGGACGAUGAUGACGGUACCCGCAGAAGAAGCCCCGGCUAACUUCGUGCCAGCAGCCGCGGUAAUACGAAGGGGGCUAGCGUUGCUCGGAAUUACUGGGCGUAAAGGGCGCGUAGGCGGCUGUAUCAGUCAGGCGUGAAAUUCCUGGGCUCAACCUGGGGGCUGCGCUUGAUACGGUACGGCUUGAGGACAGGAGAGGCUCGUGGAAUUCCCAGUGUAGAGGUGAAAUUCGUAGAUAUUGGGAAGAACACCGGUGGCGAAGGCGGCGAGCUGGCCUGUAACUGACGCUGAGGCGCGACAGCGUGGGGAGCAAACAGG